rnacentral:rRNA from 1 species
UACGUAGGUCCCGAGCGUUGUCCGGAUUUAUUGGGCGUAAAGCGAGCGCAGGUGGUUUAUUAAGUCUGGUGUAAAAGGCAGUGGCUCAACCAUUGUAUGCAUUGGAAACUGGUAGACUUGAGAGCAGGAGAGGAGAGUGGAAUUCCAUGUGUAGCGGUGAAAUGCGUAGAUAUAUGGAGGAACACCGGUGGCGAAAGCGGCUCUCUGGCCUGUAACUGACACUGAGGCUCGAAAGCGUGGGGAGCAAACAGG